UACGGGGGGGAGCAAGCGUUGUUCGGAUUUACUGGGCGUAAAGGGCGCGUAGGCGGCGCAACAAGUCACUUGUGAAAUCUCCGGGCUUAACUCGGAAAGGUCAACUGAUACUGUGCGACUAGAGUGCAGAAGGGGCAACUGGAAUUCUCGGUGUAGCGGUGAAAUGCGUAGAUAUCGAGAGGAACACCUGCGGCGAAGGCGGGUUGCUGGGCUGACACUGACGCUGAUGCGCGAAAGCCAGGGGAGCGAACGGG
rnacentral:rRNA from 1 species